CCUACGGGAGGCAUCAGUGAGGAAUAUUGGUCAAUGGACGAGAGUCUGAACCAGCCAAGUAGCGUGAAGGAUGACUGCCCUAUGGGUUGUAAACUUCUUUUAUAUGGGAAUAAAACGUUCCACGUGUGGGAUUUUGUAUGUACCAUAUGAAUAAGGAUCGGCUAACUCCGUGCCAGCAGCCGCGGUAAUACGGAGGAUCCGAGCGUUAUCCGGAUUUAUUGGGUUUAAAGGGAGCGUAGGUGGAUUGUUAAGUCAGUUGUGAAAGUUUGCGGCUCAACCGUAAAAUUGCAGUUGAAACUGGCAGUCUUGAGUACAGUAGAGGUGGGCGGAAUUCGUGGUGUAGCGGUGAAAUGCUUAGAUAUCACGAAGAACUCCGAUUGCGAAGGCAGUUCACUGGACUGCAACUGACACUGAGGCUCGAAAGUGUGGGUAUCAAACAGGAUUAGAUACCCCGGUAGUC
rnacentral:rRNA from 1 species